GACGGAGUUUUGCCCUUGCCACACAGGCUGGAGUGCAAUGGCGUGAUCUCGGCUCACUGCAACCUCCGCCUCCUGGGUUCAAGCGAUUCUCCUGCCUCAGCCUCCUGAAUUGCUGAGAUUACAGGUGCCUGCCACCACGCCCAGGAUCACACUCUGUUGCCCAGGCUGGAGUGCAGUGGUACGAUCAUGGCUCACUGCAGCCUUGACCUCUAGGGCUCAAGCAGUCCUCCUGCCCAGCCUCCCAAGUAGCUGAGCAGCUGGGACACAGGGACAAGGUCUCACUGUGUUUCCCAGGCUGGUCUCAAACUCUCAAGCAAUCUGCCUGUCUUGGUUUCCCAAAGUGCUGAGAUUACAGGGGUGCUACUGACUUCACCAGCUGGUUUGGAGGCUUCAAAGAGAAGAUGGCCGUGUAGCCUGAGCUCAGCCAGUGACACUGGUGAAUGUCAAAGAAUGGAAGCCAUCGUGACCCUGGGGGCUGUGUCAGUUCCCUUGCCUUGCUGGACUCCAGACUGCGGGAGUCAGGGGCAGGAGCCAAGGGGGAGGUGAGGGCAGGUGGCUUCGCUGGGCACACCCCUUAGUCAGGGGCAGAGGGAGCUGCUGCGGCUGCUUCAGCAGCUGUGGGUGAACAUUCCUAUGCUGCAGGCCCAGGCUCCCGCCUCUGAUUUGCUGCGCACUUUGGGUUGGCCCUUCAACCCUGGUUCGUUUCUUAAUCUGCCCAUAUCUGCCUGGGUACCUGCUCUUCUGCCGCUGUAUUGGACACCUGACCCCAUCCUCAUACCCGAUUCCCACAGCGCAGGUCACUGCCAGGCAGUGUAUUACCGAUCUCUUGGUUCUGGGGUCUGUGGUCUAUCUUCCCUACAGAAUCAAGGGAAAAUGGAUCUGUUUUGUUCAUGACUGUAUUUCUAACACCCAGUGCCUGGCACAUAGCAGGUACUCAAUAAAUAUCUGUUAAAUGAACAAAUGUACAAAUCCUCAUUCUUUACGUAGUGGGUGCCAGGUCCUGUCUGUACUAAGUGCUGUCAGUAAAUAGCUGUGAGGUCAAUGUUAUCAUUAUCUCCGUUUUACAGAGGAGGAAGCUGAGGCUCUGGG
rnacentral:lncRNA from 1 species